GGAAUAUUGGUCAAUGGGCGCGAGCCUGAACCAGCCAAGUAGCGUGCAGGAAGACUGCCCUAUGGGUUGUAAACUGCUUUUAUGAGGGGAUAAAGUCGGUCACGUGUGGCCGUUUGCAGGUACCUCAUGAAUAAGGACCGGCUAAUUCCGUGCCAGCAGCCGCGGUAAUACGGAAGGUCCGGGCGUUAUCCGGAUUUAUUGGGUUUAAAGGGAGCGUAGGCUGUCGUUUAAGCGUGUCGUGAAAUGCCGCGGCUCAACCGUGGCACUGCGGCGCGAACUGGGCGACUUGAGUGUGCUGAAAGUAGGCGGAAUUCGUGGUGUAGCGGUGAAAUGCUUAGAUAUCACGAGGAACUCCGAUUGCGAAGGCAGCUUACUGUAUCACAACUGACGCUGAAGCUCGAAGGCGCGGGUAUCGAACA
rnacentral:rRNA from 1 species